rnacentral:rRNA from 1 species
GAUGAACGCUGGCGGCGUGCUUAACACAUGCAAGUCGAACGAAGCACCUUGACUUCUUCGGAAUGAUUGGUGACUGAGUGGCGGACGGGUGAGUAACGCGUGGGUAACCCUGCCCUCACACAGGGGGGAUAACAGUUAGAAAUGACUGCUAAUACCGCAUAAGACCACAGUACCGCAUGGUACAGUGAUAAAAACUCCGGUGGUGUGAGAUGGACCCGCGUCUGAUUAGCUAGUUGGUGAGGUAACGGCCCACCAAGGCGACGAUCAGUAGCCGACCUGAGAGGGUGACCGGCCACAUUGGGACUGAGACACGGCCCAAACUCCUACGGGAGGCAGCAGUGGGGAAUA